rnacentral:rRNA from 1 species
UACGGGGGGAGCAAGCGUUGUUCGGAAUUACUGGGCGUAAAGGGCGCGUAGGCGGUCUUGUAAGUCUCGUGUGAAAUCCCUCGGCUUAACUGAGGAACUGCACGGGAUACUGCAUGACUUGAGAUCGGGAGAGGGAAGCGGAAUUCCGGGUGUAGCGGUGAAAUGCGUAGAUAUCCGGAGGAACACCGGUGGCGAAGGCGGCUUCCUGGACCGACACUGACGCUGAGGCGCGAAAGCUAGGGGAGCAAACGGG